UGAUGAUGAUGAUGAUGGUGAUGGUGAUGGUGAUGAUGAUGCUGAUGAUGAUGAUGGCGAUGGUGAUGACGACGAUGAUGUUGACGUCGAGUGUAAUGAGGAAGUUGGCAAUGAGAUCGACAACGAUGCGGAAGAACAGGAGGGAGGAGGAGGAAGAGGGUGAGGAGAAUCAUCAUAAUCAUCAUCAUCAUCGUCAUCAUCAUCACCAUCAUCAUCG
rnacentral:pre_miRNA from 1 species